rnacentral:rRNA from 1 species
UACGUAGGGACCGAGCGUUGUCCGGAAUCAUUGGGCGUAAAGAGCGUGUAGGCGGCCACUUAAGUCCUGCGUGAAAUCUUGCGGCUCAACCGCAAGCGGUCGUGGGAAACUGGGUGGCUAGAGUGCGGGAGAGGAGAGUGGAAUUCCUGGUGUAGCGGUGGAAUGCGCAGAUAUCAGGAAGAACACCCGUGGCGAAGGCGGCAUUCUGGACCGACAUUGACGCUGAGGAGCGAAAGCCAGGGGAGCAAACGGG